UCCCGGCUACUUGGGAGGCUGAGGCAGGAGAAUCGCUAAGGUGGAAGUUGCAGUGAGCCAGGAUCAUGGCACUGCACUCCAACCUGGGCAGCAGAGCAAGACUCCAUCUCAAAAAAAAAAAAAAAAAAAGCAGGCGUUGCCAUUUUGCCCAGGCUGGUCUCAAACUCCUGAGCUCAAAGCCAUCUGCCCGCCUCUGCCUCCCAAAGUGUUGGGAUUACAGGCGUGAGCCACUAUGCCUAGCUGGCAAUUUGUUCCUUAGCAGAAAAGCUGAAAAGAUCCUAUUCUACCCUGCCAGCCCCCUCUGAGGCCUCAACUCUUCCCCUUUUCCUUCCCCUGCCCUUAAUGCUUUUUCUUCUUUCUCUG
rnacentral:lncRNA from 10 species